GCCUUACACAUGCGAAGUCGAACGGCAGCGGACCGUUCGGGUGCCGGCGAGUGGCGAACGGGUGAGUAAUAUAUCGGAACGUUACCUUCAGGUGGGGGAAUAACGUAGACGAAAGUUACGCUAAUACCGCAUAAGCCCUGGAGGGGGAAAGCAGGGGAUCGCAAGACCUUGCGCGAAUGGAGCGGCCGAUGUCAGAUUAGCUAGUUGGUGGGGUAAAGGCCUACCAAAGCGACGAUCUGUAGCGGGUCUGAGAGGAUGAUCCGCCACACUGGGACUGAGACACGGCCCAGACUCCUACGGGAGGCAGCAGUGGGGAAUUUUGGACAAUGGGCGCAAGCCUGAUCCAGCCAUGCCGCGUGCGGGACGAAGGCCUUCGGGUUGUAAACCGCUUUCAGCCGGAAAGAAAUCGCCAAGGCUAAUAUCCUUGGUGGAUGACGGUACCGGAAGAAGAAGCACCGGCUAACUACGUG
rnacentral:rRNA from 1 species